GGGCUCACACAAGCGGUGGAGGAUGUGGCUUAAUUCGAUGAUACGCGAGGAACCUUACCAGGGCUUAAAUGUAACGGGACAGAUCUAGAGAUAGAUCCUUCUUCGGACUCAUUACAAGGUGCUGCAUGGUUGUCGUCAGCUCGUGCCGUGAGGUGUCAGGUUAAGUCCUAUAACGAGCGCAACCCCCAUCGUUAGUUGCCAACGAGUAAUGUCGGGAACUCUAACGAAACUGCCGGUGCAAACCGUGAGGAAGGUGGGGAUGACGUCAAAUCAUCACGGCCCUUACGUCCUGGGCUACACACGUGCUACAAUGGUCGGUACAGAGAGCAGCCACUACGCGAGUAGGAGCAAAUCUUCAAAGCCGAUCUCAGUUCGGAUCGGAGUCUGCAACUCGACUCCGUGAAGCUGGAAUCGCUAGUAA
rnacentral:rRNA from 1 species